GAUUCUUAAUCAUAUCAUAGAGUAUUCUCCCUCAAACGGUUUGAAGGUUAGAGAUCCCUUGUUGCGCAUUUAAUUGCCUCUAUGGCUAAGUGGCUUAACCCCAACUAUGCCGUGGACACCCUCCUUUUGGAGUGACUUUUGACAUAAUCAAAGAUCAAGGACUUAACCAUAAGACAACUAUGAUGCCUCAGGUCAAAGGACUACUUUGCAUUAUCCCAACCAUGAGUUCUCAUGUGACGUGAAUAUGAGAACUCUUCGUUGAUCGUGUUCAGUGAACUCAUUCUCUAUUGAGCACCUACGUACUUGUCUUGAUGUCACACACCAAUGACUCGAGACUAGUCACUCUCCCUGAGAGAAGAUACAGCACGUACUGAUCUUAACGGACUGUCAAUGCCCAAUUGGCAAUCCUAUGAUUAGGAACGUUUAGGAUGUGUCUACGAAAGAAUGGUCUCAUGAAUCUAACUUCUUUAGAUUGCAUUCUCCCAAUCACAUAUUCCUUGGACUUAUCGUUUAAGCAUAUAACAUUUAUAUGAGACGGCUUAAAACAAUAAUCUUUGCCCUUUAUAUUUAAACUGCAUUAGUUUAACUUGUGAAAUGUCCGUAAAGUAUCAUCAUAUGAUUGGUUUUAGGGCACAUUUCCAACAUCUAAUACAAUACUCUUAAUCACAUUGUUUGAGUGAUAGUUUGUUUCAUGUCUACUAUCCAAUGUAAUACUUUUCUAUAUGAUUCAAUUGAAUAUGAUUUGGAACAUACUUCCUAAGUCAUAUUCGUAUGCUUUGGCCAAAGACUCCCAAAUCAUAUCUUAGAGUAUUCUCCUUCCACCAUGGAAGGUUAGAGAUCCCUUGUUGUGCAUUCAUAUGCCUAUAUGACUAGAUAGCUUGACCCCAACAAUGCCGUGGACACUCUCGAUGGAAUCCCUUUGACAUGAUCAAAGAUCAAGGACCUAAGCAUUAGACAUCUAUGAUGCCUCAGGUCAAAGGACUACUUUGCAUAUUGCAACUAACGAGUUCUUACAUGACAUGUAUGUUCGGACUCUCUUUUGAUCGUUGUUCAGUGUACUCGAUUACUCUUUCGAGCACCUAUGUGUUUGUCUUAGUGUCCAACACUAAAUGACUUGAGACUAGUCAUACUCAAUCCUAUGGCUAGGAAUGUUUUAGGAAUGAACAUAAGAGAAAGGUCUCGUUAAUCUAACUUACUUAAAUCACUUAUCUCUUAGAUUAAAUACAUUCCUUGGAUUCCCUUAUUGCUUAAACACAUGAUACAAUAAAUAGUGAUUAACAAUAAGCUUUGCCCUUUAUUAAACAUAUAAUAUUUUAAUACAAUAAGUAUUCCAAAAGCUAUUACAUCAAAUGAGUGGCUUUGUGGGCAUACUUCCAACUCUACACUCAUACAUCCCUUAAACACAUUCACCCCUCAUUGUGCCGUGAGUAUUGCAAGGAAGGAAGGAGAAUGAGCUAACUGGUGCCGUGCCUAUGCCCCAGCCUUUGGGAUCGUUGGAGCAUUUCUAGGUGUUUUCCAUCUUUUAUUUUCAAAGUUUAAUUUAAGUUAUCUUUGUUUAUUUGCAAACAUGAGGAACUAAUUUCUUUAUAGUUAGAGGUGAAUUCGAAGCCAUGAUCAUAUGUUUUAUAUGAAUUGAUUUCCUCUAGUUAUUGUUUCAUGAAUUGUGGAUGUGGUUUACUUAUCUGUUUUAUUAAGAACUUGUUCUUGUGUGUUAAUUAGGGAUGCAUACUUAGUUUGCAUGCAUGAAUUUGAUGCUAGAGUAUAAGGGAAUUUCACCUAAUCGUUAUGAACUUAUAUUCAUGAGUAGUAAAAGUCGCUAGUCACGAUAGUGUUAAGUAAAUCCUAGGCAAGAGUAACAUGCUUUUCAUAGUUAUGAAUGCCUCGUCAAUGCUUAUGGUUUCCAUUCAACUUAAUGAUCUUUGUUAAGUGUUUCUAUCAUGCGUAUUCCAUAGUUAGGGAACUUGAUAAAGAAUAAUUUGGUUGUGAUGUGUUUUCCAUUCAAUUCAAUGAAUCUAGGGAAAUCUGAGAAUUAAUUAGUUCAAUACAAUUAAUUUGGGGCAUUGUCGUUCAUGGUUUGCCAAAGGAAUAAUUGGAAAUCGAUUUGUAUGCAUAUAUCAUGUGUGGAGAAUGAACCCUCUAACUAGCCUUUCACCAUUCUAUUUCAUCAAUUUCGUGUCUUCUUAAGUUUGUUUUACAAGUUUCUGUUUUUAAGUUUUAAGUUCGUCAAAACAAAAUCCCUUUUUCUUAAGUCUUGUUUUUAGAGUCAAAACCUGUUUUCUUUUAGUCUUUUGAGUCAAGUUAAGUUUAUUUUCGUCCAAAUCACUUGUUAGGUCUAGAAUUGAGUCAAUUUCAUCAAGUUUUGCUAUUUUGAGUGUUUUAAGUUAGUUUUGAGUCUAUAGAGUCUAGUUUAGUGUUUUUGAGUCUUAUUUGUGUUGAUUAGCAUCCCUAGUUAAUCCCCGGUCUAGAACGAUCCCUACUUGCUUAAUACUACAAUUGUCAU
rnacentral:lncRNA from 1 species